CGUCAGCGCGUGCGUCGUCAGUGUGCGCGGACCCGUGGGUGCGCGUGCGCCCAAGACUUCCCACCUCUGGAAGUUGGUGGCGGCCUGGAGAUGCCAAGCACAUCCACACAAAUUCCCCAAGAGACACCUCCCUAGCUCCAAGAGUCUCACAGGACACAACCCCCAGCAUCUUGGAAGCAAAGAGCCAUCAUUGUGGGAGUCCUUGAAGUUCUGGCUUCCAGAGCUUCAGAAGUGUGAAAAUCGUGCUUCUAUUAUUUAUAAACUACCCUGUCUUGAGCAAUUUUUGUGACAGUUCUUCAAACGACCCAAGAUAUUCUCGUCCCCCUCUCUGCCCCACCCGAUAACCUGGGAAGGAAGUUCAUCUCACAGGGAGAGCUUGUGAGCCCACUUUGCCACCUUGCAGCCUGAUUCCAGUUACCUCACUCCAAGCAGCUUUGAUUUUGCUUAUGAAACCACGUUUAAUUUGAUAAAGCUUUUUUUUUUCCCCAG